rnacentral:rRNA from 1 species
GACGAACGCUGGCGGCGUGCUUAACACAUGCAAGUCGAGCGAUGAAGCUUCUUCGGAAGUGGAUUAGCGGCGGACGGGUGAGUAACACGUGGGUAACCUGCCUUAUAGUGGGGAAUAGCCUUUCGAAAGGAAGAUUAAUACCCCAUAAGAUUGUAGUUUCGCAUGAAACAGUAAUUAAAGGAGCAAUUCGCUAUAAGAUGGACCCGCGGCGCAUUAGCUAGUUGGUGAGGUAACGGCUCACCAAGGCGACGAUGCGUAGCCGACCUGGGAGGGUGAUCGGCCACAUUGGGACUGAGACACGGCCCAGACUCCUACGGGAGGCAGCAGUGGGGAAUAUUGCACAAUGGGGGAAACCCUGAUGCAGCAACGCCGCGUGAGUGAUGACGGUCUUCGGAUUGUAAAGCUCUGUCUUUAGGGACGAUAAUGACGGUACCUAAGGAGGAAGCCACGGCUAACUACGUGCCAGCCGCCGCCGUAAGAC